GACAUGGUACUAUCCAUCUACUGGGACUUACCGUGUGACGUAUGUCAUUUUGUGUGGACUAGGCAUAGAGGUGGUGCUUUCCAAACAAAUAAAAAGGAAAUAGUAACCAUGUUUAUGCCACUUUGUCAGGUAGGUCAAGCCAAAGCUUUGGCAACCUUAAGCUCCACCCUUGCUGCCUUCUUAGACCUUCAUGGGUAUGAAUUUCUUCCGCUAGCAAAUAACUAGCUGCAGCACUAGCUCCUGCUGAUGGAUGUGGGGAGCCCUAGGUCUUUUACCUUUCUGUGGCCUUUAAUAUCUAUCCAUUAUGCCUCCUCCUCUUGUAGAGGCUAAGCUUCAAGGUACAGAAGGAUAUGAACACCAAUGGAUCUGGAGCCACAAUUCCAAGUGACUGAGCCUUCAAGUAAAAAAUUAGCUAAAAACCAUCCGUUGUUUCCCUACUUACGACAGUACACACAGGGAUGCUUACGGGCUCUCCAUCCCCCCGUGGUCCCCAUCAUCUCAGGGGCUAUAUAGUCCAGGGAAGGUCUACAUACAGAUAUUGAAAUGAUGUCUGGACUCUUUACAAAUGACUUGUCUCAAGCUUAAGAGAUGUUUCAGUCGGUGAGGUGCUAGCAACACAAGCGUAAGGACCUGAGUUUAAAACCCAGCUCUAGCAGUGCAAGUCUGUGAUCUCAGCAAUCAGGAGGUGGAAAUGGAGGAUGCUGGGGCUCAUUGGCCAGCUAACUUCGUGUGGUUGCUAAGCUGCAGGUUGAGUGAGAGACCUUAUCUCAGGAAGACUCUUGAUGUUCUGGCCUCCACAUGCACAGGCUCCGGCACCUGAAUUGACACGUGCAUAUUCUACACUCACGCCAACCAACCGACCAACAAACAAAUACCUUGCUAGGAAACUUAGCGCUCAUGUUGUAAAGUACACAGCCUGACUGUUUUUGGCUUGUUUUCUUUUAUUUUGUUUUAUAGUACUGAUGAUCCAACCCUGGGCCUGGCACACGCUAGGCAAAUAGCAGCCUCAAACUGUCAGCUUUUACAGAAUACUAGGUCAGAGGUUGCUGCUUGCUUCACUUGGAGGAUCAUCUGACAUUUUAGCUUCCAAGAAAAAGAUCAAAGCAAGGGCCACUUCUCAGUCUAGAAUGUGAGGUCCCCAACACUCUGAACCUGGUCUUCCUUCCUAUCCAUCACUCCCUCCAUAUCACAACUUAGUAACCCAACCAGCUUUGGCUUCCUUUCCUAAACAUACCUCUGUCUCUGUCAACUCCAAACAUAGAAAUGAUUAAUUCCCACAACACACCUUCUAACAUCUUAUUCUGUCAUUACUCUUGUCAACGCUGACCCCUUCUUCAGGGCCAAGCUCCAGUGUCAGUCACCCUCCUUCUGGAAGCUUAGCUACCUCGUCUUGUCAAGUCUGGCUUUCCCUUCCUCCGAGCUGCCUUACUGUUUUGUUUGUAAUUCCCUGCAGGCCUUCAGUGUCUCCUGCACUGUGUUAUUGCUGAUAGCUCUGGGUGCUCAGCUUUCUGGGACAGCACGAUCUUCAUUAAACCUGCAGCCCCGCAGCACCUAUCACCACACUUUUUGAACAAAGAGCUUUUGAUUAAUUCCAAGCAUGGAAUUCCUCCAUCUCUUCUACUUGAUGGCGGGCUAUUACUACUGUGGACUGUUAUUUAACCAGAGGUGAUAUUCAAAACACAUAGUAACUAGGACAGCCCGGGACCCUAUCAACCUGAACAAAUGCCUUUUGAAGCAUCCUGAGUAUCAGCCCUGCCACUGUGCUUUUUUCUAGAUGAAUAUGCUUCCUGCUCACCUCGUAAGGCUGUGCUGGUCAAGUGAGGUAAUGCAUGUGAAAACUCUUGUGGAGCAUAUGUGGAGGCUGCAGGUUCCUCCAGUACCCAGUGUGGGGUUGGAUCCCUGACUUUCACUGUCACGCUGAUUACAGCUCCAUUUCACUCAAAACCACCUCCCUGCAGCAAACCAAUCAGGAGCUCUUAAGCAACUGAUCAGGACACCAUGAGCCCAGCAAGUCUUGGAAUCAACCCAUUAGCUCUCUAUAUAUUAUCUUCUUCAAGCCAGCCCUCUUUGCCAUUUUUAGGCAAUAAGUAUCAAUAUUUUCAGACUUUUAAGACAUCUCAUCAAAAUGUUAAAACCUGGGAAGACUUUUUGAACAUUACUGCAAAUUGACUCACUUGUGGAUAGCGUUUGCUAUUGCACGUUGACCUUAAAAAUCCAGGAUCCUUAAUGAUUUCUGUACAUUUCAGGCAUUCUGACUCUCUUCUGUGUGACAUUAGGCUGCUCUGCCCAGAUCUGUGAGUGGAUUGACAGUGAUUAACAAACACUAAGUUUCCCUCUUAGUUCCUUUGUCUUUACAGCUUCCUGUCUGCUUUUCCAAUGAGUUCUUUCUGAAGAAUUGUGUUUGAGCCAACACUCACUCAUUUCCACCCUGUGCCCCGUCCCAUCUCCAAACCGUGGGAAUACAAAUCACUAGCUACCUCCUUCUCCUGAAGACAUUCACUCUUUCCCACUCACUUCUGAUUGCCUCUUUGUGCUCAUUGGCCAUUUCCAGUCAAUGUCUCUUCUUGUGUGUUGUGUAAGCAAUAGACAUGAGAUUCUGUCCCUGACUGCCUGGCCCUGAGGGGGCGCUGACCAUCUCUGAGCCCCUCAGCCAGGUUGUAACCAGGAGAGAUGGCAGACAUUGGGAAGGAGCACUAAAAGUCCUGGGCAGAGUUCAAACCAUGGGAUGUCUCCACGAUCUGAGGGUCUCAAGCCCAUUAUGUGACAGUUGUCACAUAAGCACACGAAACCCUCACUGAGCUGUUGAAGCAUGAUCAGCCUGCCCUGGCUACGGCCAACAGCCAUCCUCUCCUUCUGCGCUGUCUCCACCGAGUCUCACAAAGCCUCACAAAGGUGGUUGGUAUUAUUUUCACUCUUAGUAAGUGAGGAAUGGAGGUGAUGAGAUGUGACCUAUCUGAAAUGACAUGACUACUGUGUGAGACAGCAUGGGGACUUGAAUUCGUGGUCAGGGUUGUAAGACAACAGAGCAUCCUUUGGCUGAGGACUUGAGGGUGUCUGAUACUGGUCCAUAAAGGAGCAUAUAAUAUGAUAGACGAUGGUCACUGUGGCUAGAUGUGCUAUGCACAUCUUAGAGAUUCUCAAUGACUGCACACACACUGCGUGUUUCCAUGAAGGAUCACACUCAAGAAUAGUACAAAUAACAUGCCAAUGGUCCCACAACUACAAGGUGGCUGCACAAUACUGUCUUAUAUGAUAACUUAUUAUGAUUGUAGGAUUUAACUUAUUCAUAUUUAGUGUAAUUCUGAAUUGCCUUUUCGAUGGGAUUUCCUUGAGGGUAAGGAAAAGGGUCAGGUUUACUCUCCUGUCAGUUCCCAAGGAUCUCUAGUACCCCGUUCUUUCACUCAAAUCCAAAUCCAAAUCCAAACCAGCUCAGUGAGGGUUUCGUGUGCUUAUGAGACGACUGUCAGGCCCCCUGUAUGCUUGAGACCUACAGAUCAGAGAGAGAUCCUUUGGUUUGAACUCCUUCCAGGACAUUGAGUGCCCCCCCCCAAUGUCUGCCUUCACUCUUGGCUUACAUUCCUGCUGAGGAGAGUGAGAGCGGGCUCUGCCAAGCUGUGAAAAUGAGCAAACUGGGGCUCAGAGAUGGUCAGCACCCCGUCAGGGCCAGGCAGUCAGGGGCAGAAUCCCAUGUCUAUUGCUUACACACCCUAUAAACUUGAGCAAAUGACACAGUCCCCAAAUUUUAGUCCCUUUUCUGGAUGUCAUUAACGUCAUUUAUUGAUACUUUGUAUGGCUAAUAUGAAAGGCUGUGUUGACACAGCAUGAGAACACAGGAAGUAAUAUAGGUUUGUCAAUAACAACAACAAAACACAGAGGCAAAAGGGAAAGGUGGAGCUGAAUCUCUUCCAACAAUGUCCUGUGUCUCUGCUGGUCUCUUCCUGGGCAGUUGGGGAAAGCUUGGUGAUGUUCAGUUUUGUAUUUCAGCUGUUUCCAUAAUGCAGUCACAUGACAUCUAUUUAUUACUCAGAGUGUUGUGAACCACAAUCUCUGGCUUCUUGGCUAACUGAAGAGUGGCCAAUGUCUUCCUUUCUAUGGAAGAGAUUCCCACUCGCCCAUGCAAUUCCCCCAUUUAGAUCAGCUGCCCACGUCUUCAUGCAGCCUUCUUCCUAACACCUCAAGUUCUGCAGGGCUCAUGGCAGGAAGCAGGUACAAUCUAGUACUAAGAAGACUCUUGUCAGGAACUAACUGCUCUGGCGACCAUGGUUGAGGGCAAGCCAAAUACAAUCUCAGUGGCCCAGACUGUGUGACAGACCACAGUGGACAGACACUCUUGAGAUUGUUAAGUGUUCUCUGAAGACCCUGGUCCUGACCCAGGACAAUCAAGGAACAAUAAAAGCAGGUAAAGAAAACAAAAUCAGGUUCUAAAUCUUGCCAGAGAAAUAGGGACUACUCACCAUUCAUCACAGCCCUUCACAGUUUGCAAAGCAUCUGUAAAUAAUCAAUGCAAUGUAACCUAAUUCUACUGGCUGACAAAGAAGAGAGGGUGCUUACAGAAUGGUUUCUGACUAUGGUAUUCUGUGCUCAAUGCCUUUUACCUCACAUGUGCGUGGUGGGUUUUUCUACAGAACCAUUUGGGUGGUAAGAUGGCAUUUAGUACCUCACUAGUUUAAAUCAGAGUACCUGGUUGCUGUAAGACUACUCUUUACUACAUUAUCUAUCAUCUAGGGUAUCUAUCAUGCAGGCUUGUCAACCUGAUAGAUUCGAGUUACACAUGCAGAAUUUUUUUUCUGAAGAAGUCUGAGGUCAUGGCAAGCCAGUAAUUCACAGAUAGGCCUUAUAUUAUAUAUUAUUUCACUGUCUAUGUGGAACGUUCCCCUUUUCAGUACCUGCUUAGCCUGCACACCCCUCCCCAAGGCCUAGACAUUUUUUUAAUCUAGAAAAAGCCAUAAUUACACAUUGUUUUACAGUUUUAAUUUUCUUUCAUAUAUUUUGAUCAUAUUAUUUCCCUUCCAUCAACACCCUCCAGAUAUUCCCCACCUCUCUACUCACCCUCCCAAACUUCAUCUUCUUUCUCUAUC
rnacentral:lncRNA from 1 species